rnacentral:rRNA from 1 species
AUUGAACGCUGGCGGCAGGCCUAACACAUGCAAGUCGAGCGCGCGGCGGACGGGUGAGUGAUGUAUGGGGACUGCCCGAUAGAGGGGGAUAACAACUGGAGACGGUAGCUCAAAUCGCAUACUAUCUGGUUACCCCUAUGGGAUUAGCUCGUAGGUGGGGUAAUGGCUCACCUAGGCGACGAUCCCUAGCUGGUCUGAGAGGAUGAUCAGCCACACUGGGACUGAGACACGGCCCAGACUCCUACGGAGGCAGCAGUGGGGAAUAUUGCACAAUGGGCGCAAGCCUGAUGCAGCCAUGCCGCGUGUAUGAAGAAGGCCUUAGGGUUGUAAAGUACUUUCAGUCGGGAGGCGUUACCGACAGAAGAAGCACCGGCUAACUCCGUGCCAGCCGCCGCGGUAAUAC